rnacentral:lncRNA from 10 species
CCCCACUCCUCAUCCCUCCAUCCAGCAGUGCCUCACAGAGCCCCAGAGAGGGGCAGAGCUCAGUGGCUGGAGGAACCGUGGCCAUAAGAGGGCGAUCUUGCAUCAGCAAAAUGAUGCUGUGCGAGGUCCCGGAGUGUGCGCUUUUCUGGACCUAAUCCACCUCCCCCCGCCACUCCCCUCCCCACGGCGAUCCCGAUUUUUAGGAUGACUUCUCUAUAGAGUCCAGGCCACCGGCGACAGGAGGACGGAUUUGAUGAGUCUUCACAAGCCUCUCUGCUUGCUAUUAUUAUUAUUAUUAUUAUUAUUUUGUGAUUAUUUUUGUGGAGGGAAUGGCUUGGACCCUGACUCAUUCUGUCAGCUCGGGCCUUCUCAGUGAAGCUCUUGCCAAUCAUUGAUUGAUCAAUGUGUUAAAAAUAAAAAAAAUCUCACCCAGGGCAAGCCACAGACUCGGAGAAAAUAUUUGCCAAAUACAUAUCUGGUAAAGAUAUGCCCAGAGCACAUAGAUAACCCUCAAAACUCAACCAUAAUAAAACGAAGACCCUAAUUAUGACAGAUUAUCCUCUGAGCAGACGCAUCACCAAUGAAGAGCUAGGGUGAGAAGUAAGCACAUGAAAAGAUGCUCAACGUCGUUAGUUAUCGGGACGGACCAAAGAAAACCACAGCGGGAUGUCACUUCACCCGCCCAGGAUAAAAGGGCAACUGCCUGCACCAGGGGCUGGAGGGAUGAGGAGUGGCUGGGGCUCUUUUCGGGAAUGCGGAGUGCAAAGCCACCUUGGGAAACAGCUUGGCAGUUUCUUAGAAAGUUGAACACACGCCACCAUAUGAUCUGGUCAUUCUGCUCCAAAGUGUUUACCUGUGAGAGAAGACAUAUGUCCAUGCACACAUUUGUGCACAAAUGUUCAUAGCAGCUUUAUUUAUAGCCACAAACUGGAAAUGAUCCAAAUACUCAUCAACAGGUGCAUGGAGGAACAAAAUGUGAUUCAUCCAUACAAUGAACAUUUUUCAGUAAUAAAAAGAAAGGAAAUGUUGAUACAUAUCACCUAGAGGAAUCUCAGUGUAAUUAUGUGGAGUGGAAGAAGCCAGACAAGUAAGAGAACAUAGUGUAUGAUUCCAGCAGAUACAAUUCUAGAAAAUGAAAACUAACUGAUAGUCAUGGAAAGCAGAUGAAUUUUUGUCUGGGGCAGAGGAGGCAGGCAUGGUGGUGAGUGAUGGGAGGAUGGGAGGGGGGCUGACCGAGGGGCAGGGGACUCACCUGGGG